UGACUGCCGGUGACAAACCGGAGGAAGGUGGGGAUGACGUCAAAUCAUCAUGCCCCUUAUGAUUUGGGCUACACACGUGCUACAAUGGACAAUACAAAGGGCAGCGAAACCGCGAGGUUAAGCAAAUCCCAUAAAGUUGUUCUCAGUUCGGAUUGUAGUCUGCAACUCGACUACAUGAAGCUGGAAUCGCUAGUAAUCGUAGAUCAGCAUGCUACGGUGAAUACGUUCCCGGGUCUUGUACACACCGCCCGUCACACCACGAGAGUUUGUAACACCCGAAGCCGGUGGAGUAACCUUUUAGGAGCUAGCCGUCGAAGGUGGGACAAAUGAUUGGGGUGAAGUCGUAACAAGGUAGCCGUAUCGGAAGGUGCGGCUGGAUCACCUCCUUU
rnacentral:rRNA from 1 species